UUUGAGCUUAUAGUUCCUGAGUGACAGGAGU
rnacentral:piRNA from 1 species